rnacentral:rRNA from 1 species
GACGAACGCUGGCGGCGUGCUUAACACAUGCAAGUCGAACGGAAAGGCCCUGCUUUUGUGGGGUGCUCGAGUGGCGAACGGGUGAGUAACACGUGAGUAACCUGCCCUUGACUUUGGGAUAACUUCAGGAAACUGGGGCUAAUACCGGAUAGGAGCUCCUGCUGCAUGGUGGGGGUUGGAAAGUUUCGGCGGUUGGGGAUGGACUCGCGGCUUAUCAGCUUGUUGGUGGGGUAGUGGCUUACCAAGGCUUUGACGGGUAGCCGGCCUGGGAGGGUGACCGGCAACAUUGGGACUGAGAUACGGCCCAGACUCCUACGGGAGGCAGCAGUGGGGAAUAUUGCACAAUGGGCGGAAGCCUGAUGCAGCAACGCCGCGUGCGGGAUGACGGCCUUCGGGUUGUAAACCGCUUUCGCCUGUGACGAAGCGUGAGUGACGGUAAUGGGUAAAGAAGCACCGGCUAACUACGUG